rnacentral:rRNA from 1 species
GACGAACGCUGGCGGCGGGCUUAACACAUGCAAGUCGAACGGAAACGCCGUGCGUGUGUGCUGUGCUCGAGUGGCGGAGGGGGGAGGAACACGUGUGUAACGUGCCCUAGUCUUUGGUAUAACUUCAGGAAACUGGAGCUAAUAUCGGAUAGGAUCUCCUGCUGCAGGGUGGGCGGUGGAAAUUUUCGGCGGUUGGGGAUGGACUCGCGGCUUAUCAGCUUGCUGGUUGGCUAGUUGCUUACCAAGGCUUUGACGGGUAGCCGGCCUGGGAGGGUGACCGGCCACCAUGCGCCUGCGAUACGGACCAGACUCGAACGGGAGGCAGUGGUGGGGAAUCUUGCCCAGUGGGAGGACGCCUGAUGAGGCAACGCCGCGUGCGGGAUGCCGGUCUUUGGGUAGUGAACAGCUUCCGGCUGUGACGCCGCGUGACUGACGGUACUGGGUGAAGAAGCACCGGCUAACUACGUG